GUUUGAUCCUGGCUCAGGAUGAACGCUGGCGGCAUGCCUAAUACAUGCAAGUCGAACGAGAGGAAGGAAAGCUUGCUUUUCUGAAUCUAGUGGCGAACGGGUGAGUAACACGUAGGUAACCUGCCCAUGUGCCCGGGAUAACUUCUGGAAACGGAUGCUAAAACCGGAUAGGUAGCAGACAAGCAUUUGACUGCUAUUAAAGUGGCUUUGGCCAUGAACAUGGAUGGACCUGCGGUGCAUUAGCUGGUUGGUGAGGUAACGGCCCACCAAGGCGACGAUGCAUAGCCGGCCUGAGAGGGCGGACGGCCACAUUGGGACUGAGACACGGCCCAAACUCCUACGGGAGGCAGCAGUAGGGAAUUUUCGUCAAUGGGGGGAACCCUGAACGAGCAAUGCCGCGUGAGUGAGGAAGGUCUUCGGAUCGUAAAGCUCUGUUGUAAGAGAAAAACGGCACUCAUAGGGAAUGAUGGGUGAGUGAUGGUAUCUUACCAGAAAGUCACGGCUAACUACGUGCCAGCAGCCGCGGUAAUACGUAGGUGGCGAGCGUUAUCCGGAAUGAUUGGGCGUAAAGGGUGCGUAGGUGGCAGAUCAAGUCUGGAGUAAAAGGUAUGGGCUCAACCCGUACUGGCUCUGGAAACUGAUCAGCUAGAGAACAGAAGAGGACGGCGGAACUCCAUGUGUAGCGGUAAAAUGCGUAGAUAUAUGGAAGAACACCGGUGGCGAAGGCGGCCGUCUGGUCUGGAUUCUGACACUGAAGCACGAAAGCGUGGGGAGCAAAUAGGAUUAGAUACCCUAGUAGUCCACGCCGUAAACGAUGAGAACUAGGUGUUGGGGGAAUAACUCAGUGCCGCAGUUAACGCAGUAAGUUCUCCGCCUGGGGAGUAUGCACGCAAGUGUGAAACUCAAAGGAAUUGACGGGGGCCCGCACAAGCGGUGGAGUAUGUGGUUUAAUUCGAAGCAACGCGAAGAACCUUACCAGGCCUUGACAUCCCUUGCAGAGGUAUAGAGAUAUAUCCGAGGUUAUCAAGGAGACAGGUGGUGCAUGGUUGUCGUCAGCUCGUGUCGUGAGAUGUUGGGUUAAGUCCCGCAACGAGCGCAACCCUUGUGAUAUGUUACUAACAUUGAGUUGAGGACUCAUAUCAGACUGCCGGUGAUAAACCGGAGGAAGGUGGGGAUGACGUCAAAUCAUCAUGC
rnacentral:rRNA from 1 species